GCUGGAUGUGGUGGCGCACACCUGUAAUCCCAGCUACUCGGAGGCUGAGGUAGGAGAAUUGCUUGAACCCGGGAGGUGGAGGUUGCAGUGAGCUGAGAUCACACCACUGCACUCCAGCCUGGGUGACAGAGCAAGACUCUAUCUCAA
ensembl:misc_RNA Metazoa_SRP Metazoan signal recognition particle RNA